rnacentral:rRNA from 1 species
CAGUGGGGAAUAUUGGACAAUGGACCAAAGUCUGAUCCAGCAAUUCUGUGUGCACGAUGACGGUCUUAGGAUUGUAAAGUGCUUUCAAUCGGGAAAAAGAAAGUGAUGGUACCGAUAGAAGAAGCGACGGCUAAAUACGUGCCAGCAGCCGCGGUAAUACGUAUGUCGCAAGCGUUAUCCGGAUUUAUUGGGCGUAAAGCGCGUCUAGGCGGUAUGGUAAGUCUGAUGUGGAAAUGCGGGGCUCAACUCCGUAUUGCGUUGGAAACUGCCAGACUAGAGUACUGGAGAGGUGGGCGGAACUACAAGUGUAGAGGUGAAAUUCGUAGAUAUUUGUAGGAAUGCCGAUAGAGAAGUCAGCUCACUGGACAGAUA